rnacentral:rRNA from 1 species
AGAGUUUGUAUCCUUCGGCGUCAGGAGUAGAACGGACUGGCGGGCGGUGGCUUAACUACAAUUGCAAGUCGAAACGGAACCACUAAUUGAAACCUAACGUGAUAUAUGGGUUAGUGGCGGACGGGUGGAGUAACGACGUGGGUAACCGUGCCUUACAACAGGGGGAGUAACACUUAGAAAUAGGUGCUAAACCGCAUAAGCGCACAGCUUCGCAUGAAGCGGUGUGAAAAACUCCGGUGGUGUAAGAUGGACCCGCGUCUGAUUAGCUUGUUGGCGGGGUAACGGCCCACCAAGGCGACGAUCAGUAGCCGGCCUGAGAGGGCGGACGGCACAUUGGGACUGAGACACGGCCCAGACUCCUACGGGAGGCAGCAGUGGGGAAUAUUGCACAAUGGGGGAAACCCUGAUGCAGCGACGCCGCGUGAGUGAAGAAGUAAUUCGUUACGUAAAGCUCUAUCAGCAGGGAAGAAACACUGACCUUACGGUCAGCAGACGGUACCUGAGUAAGAAGCCCCGGCUAACUACGUG